UUCUAGGGAAAAGUGUUGGUGUUCACAAGUGCUGUUACUGCCACUGUGUCUGCAGGAUCCAUCUGAUUUCCCUCUGCCGACACAAUUCUCCCCAGAGGGGUUUUGGAAAUAAAAGAUAACAGCAGGCAACUGGUUCAUCUUUGAGGGAGA